UCGUGAUCCGCCCGCCUCAGCCUCCCAAGGUGCUGGGAUUACAGGCAUGAGCCACCAUGCCUGGCUGACACAGUAGGCUUUUAACAAAUACUCAAGAAAUCGCAGUUCUUAGGCAUUUAAGGAACAGAGUUGGAACAAAAUCAAGAUUCAAAAUUAUUUCUCUAAGCCUUCUUUGGGCCACAGUCUACAAAGAGAUUGGGGAAGUAGGCUGUCAGAACUUUAAUGGUUCUGAAAUCACCGAAAAUGAUGUAACUGGAACACUUUCAUUUCACAAGAUUACAGUGUUACAUUUUCUAAAGAAACUGUCAUUUGCCUUCUGAACUAGAAACAGGGAUUUGUAAAAUAAUGUGCAGUGAUGGCGUGGAAAACUAACCAGCAGCACUCCUGAAAUGCUGCCUUCGUGUUCCCCUGGGACUGCUCGCCUCACCCCAAAACUAUUUCUACUGCCUUCCCCUUCCAUGCUACAACUAGUCUCCAAAGGUAGUUUUCUCUACUAACAAAGCAAACAGAUCAUAUGAACGGACAUCAGACUUUCUUAGGAGAUUUCUGAAAAUUCUCUCUUCUGGGGGAAUAAAUUGUGAGCAUUUCGAUUCAAACAUUCCUGAAAGAAUAACCAGGCAACCGAAACACUCAGUGACCUAACUGUGGUAGGCUGGUCACUUCAAACUUAACAGAACAAUAAAACAUAUACUACUUUAUGGCCAAAAAAAAAAAUCUUUUUAAAACAAUAAGUGUGGACAAAGUGUUUUCACAGAUGAAGAGAUGAAGUUCCUGAAAUUUAGGGUUUCAUUUCUCAAGGGUCUCCUUUAAACAAACAAACAGUUAUGAUUUCAAAGUAGACAUGUGCCUUCAACACCAUUUUUAAAAAUUACCAGCCUUAGCAAAGGUGUAGAAAAAACUUGUUCUCAAGCACUGUCCGUGGAAGAAUUAGUAAAACAUUUCUAGAAAACCUGUUACCGUCUUAACAAACUUUUAAACACAUGUAGCAAUUCUACUUCCAGGAACUUAUCUAUUUGCCAAGACAUAUAUGCAAGGAUCUUCCCUAUAGGGUUGUGUAUAAAGGAAAAAUCAGACAGACUAUGCCAGGAGCCCUCUGAAAGAGAAGAGUCAACUGUGGAGGGGGCACCUGUGAAUGAAUCCUGCGGAGCUGCUAACAGAGCAGACUUACACACACAACAUGGUAAAGUUCCAUGACACUGCACACAGGGGAUUACACACACAACAUGACUUUCCUGGGCCUGACUCCCGGACCUGUCCCCAGCGCCUCGCGGCCUCUCGAGCCCCUUCAGUGACCAAGAUGCAGAGAUCAGGACGCCAUUGCACCACCCCAGGUGCCCGCCUCUAGCUGGCUCCGCCUGGGCCCCGAGGGAAGGUGAGGUCGGGGGGGCCGGGCCAGGGCGUGGCAGCCAGGGUGUUUGUCCGCCGGGCUUGCUGCCUCUGGUGGCCCGGCAGCACCGUCCCACCUCUGCCACCCUCCGAUGGGGCCGCUACCUGCGUGCCUGCCAAUCAUGCUGCUCCUGCUGCUGCUGCUGCUGCUGCUGCUUGGACCUGGCCCCAGGUCUGGCGAGGGGUCUGGCGCUGUCGCCCAGGUUGGAAUACAGCGGUGCAAUCUCAACUCACUGCAAACUCCGCCUCCCAGGUUCAAGCAAUUCUCCUGCCUCAGUCUCCUGAGUAGCUGAGAUUACAGAUGCCUGCCACCACACGCAGCUAAUUGGUUGGGUGUGGUGGGGCUUUCCAAUGAUUACUUAUUAAUGAUUACUUAUGAAAAACAACAACAAAAAAGCCAUCUUGAAGCUGCUUUUAAUGAGAGAACAAAUGUGCUCCCAAGCAACAGAGCAGCGAAAUUCUUUAUUACUGGAUUCUAACUUUCCUCUCUAACUGUAACUGUCUCAGCUCCACCUCAUGUGACUUGGAGGGUAUGUUGCAACCUGCGUCUUCACCACCCAUUCAUGAAGAUCUAUAAAACUAAUGUAAACUGCUGGGGCAAUUUCAACAUGAGUCAACUGGAGAUUGUUACUUGGUGAGAAUGCGCAAGUGGCAAAGAUCUAAAUUUGUUCAGCUAAUUUGUAAUUAACCUUCGCUUCUCACAUGUCAGUAUGUGAAGUGUCUGGUUUAAGCAAUUUAUCCAAAAAAGCCAUAGACUCUUUAAAUAACAACAAAACCUGGGCCUGGAAUUUUAUAAAGGCAGAAUGAGUAAGA
rnacentral:lncRNA from 1 species